rnacentral:rRNA from 1 species
UACGUAGGGAGCAAGCGUUGUCCGGAAUCAUUGGGCGUAAAGCGCGCGUAGGCGGCCCCGUAAGUCCGCUGUGAAAGUCAAAGGCUCAACCUUUGAAAGCCGGUGGAUACUGUGGGGCUAGAGUACGGAAGAGGCGAGUGGAAUUCCUGGUGUAGCGGUGGAAUGCGCAGAUAUCAGGAGGAACACCAGUGGCGAAGGCGAUCACCUGGGGUUGUUCUGACGCUGAGGAGCGAAAGCUAGGGGAGCAAACGGG